UGGAACUCCACACAAGAUUCAACCAAAUAAAGGACUUGAAUGACAUCGAGGGUAUUUUCAAAACUCCUAAAAAGCGAAAAACUACCAGGGAAGAGGAAGACACUGUUGAGAAGGGUAUUUUGAAAACAUAUAAAAAGAGAAAAACUACCGGAGAAGAGGGAGACCCUCUUGACAAGGUAUAAGAAUCUCUAAACAGUGAAUUAUGCAUUUCGGUUUUCGUUUCCUCCAAUGCAAUGCAGUUUCUAAUUAGUUUCUGUUCA